rnacentral:rRNA from 1 species
GUACAUUGGUGCUUGCACCAGAUGACGAGUGGCGCACGGGUGCGUAACGCGUAUGCAAUCUACCUUUUACUAGAGUAUAGCCCAGAGAAAUUUGGAUUAAUCCUCUAUAAUAUCUUUUAAUUUCAUGAUUUUAAGAUUAAAGUUUUAACGGUAAAAGAUGAGCAUGCGUCCUAUUAGUUUGUAGGUGAGGUAACGGCUCACCUAGACUACGAUAGGUAGGGGCCCUGAGAGGGGGAUCCCCCACACUGGUACUGAGACACGGACCAGACUCCUACGGGAGGCAGCAGUAAGGAAUAUUGGACAAUGGACGAAAGUCUGAUCCAGCCAUGCCGCGUGCAGGAUGAAAGCCCUACGGGUUGUAAACUGCUUUUAUACAGGAAGAAACACUCCGACGUGUCGGAGCUUGACGGUACUGUAAGAAUAAGGAUCGGCUAACUCCGUGCCAGCAGCCGCGGUAAUACGGAGGAUCCAAGCGUUAUCCGGAAUCAUUGGGUUUAAAGGGUCCGCAGGCUGUUUUUUAAGUCAGAGGUGAAAUCCUACAGCUCAACUGUAGAACUGCCUUUGAUACUGAAAAACUUGAGUUAUUGUGAAGUGGUUAGAAUGUGUGGUGUAGCGGUGAAAUGCAUAGAUAUCACACAGAAUACCGAUUGCGAAGGCAGAUCACUAACAACAUACUGACGCUCAUGGACGAAAGCGUGGGGAGCGAACAGGAUUAGAUACCCUGGUAGUCCACGCCGUAAACGAUGGAUACUAGCUGUUCGUCUAACAUUGGUUAGAUGAGUGGCUAAGCGAAAGUGAUAAGUAUCCCACCUGGGGAGUACGGUCGCAAGACUGAAACUCAAAGGAAUUGACGGGGGCCCGCACAAGCGGUGGAGCAUGUGGUUUAAUUCGAUGAUACGCGAGGAACCUUACCAGGGCUUAAAUGUAGUGGGACAGGUCUAGAGAUAGACCCUUCUUCGGACUCAUUACAAGGUGCUGCAUGGUUGUCGUCAGCUCG